rnacentral:rRNA from 1 species
UACGGAGGAUCCAAGCGUUAUCCGGAUUUAUUGGGUUUAAAGGGUGCGUAGGUGGCCUGGUAAGUCAGGGGUGAAAGACGGUAGCUUAACUAUCGCAGUGCCUUUGAUACUGCCGGGCUUGAAUAAACUAGAGGUAGGCGGAAUGUGACAAGUAGCGGUGAAAUGCAUAGAUAUGUCACAGAACACCGAUUGCGAAGGCAGCUUACUAUGGUUUUAUUGACACUGAGGCACGAAAGCGUGGGGAUCAAACAGG